GAUGAACGCUGGCGGCGUGCCUAAUACAUGCAAGUCGAGCGAACGGACGAGAAGCUUGCUUCUCUGAUGUUAGCGGCGGACGGGUGAGUAACACGUGGAUAACCUACCUAUAAGACUGGGAUAACUUCGGGAAACCGGAGCUAAUACCGGAUGAUAUUUUGAACCGCAUGGUUCAAAAGUGAAAGACGGUCUUGCUGUCACUUAUAGAUGGAUCCGCGCUGCAUUAGCUAGUUGGUAAGGUAACGGCUUACCAAGGCAACGAUGCAUAGCCGACCUGAGAGGGUGUUCGCCCACUCUGGACCUGAGACCCGGCCCAGCCCCCUACGGGAGGCCGCAGUGGGUACUCUUCCGCAAUGGGGGAAAGCCUGCCGGAGCAACGCCGGGUGGGUGAUGAAGGCUUUCGGCCCGUAAAACCCUUUUUUUGGGGAAAAACAUUUUUGGAAGUAACUUUGCCCAUUUUGCGGGUACCUAAUCAAAAACCCCGGGCUACCUCCGG
rnacentral:rRNA from 1 species